rnacentral:rRNA from 1 species
CCUACGGGAGGCUGCAGUGGGGAAUAUUGGGCAAUGGGCGCAAGCCUGACCCAGCAACGCCGCGUGAAGGAAGAAGGCUUUCGGGUUGUAAACUUCUUUUAAGAGGGAAGAGCAGAAGACGGUACCUCUUGAAUAAGCCACGGCUAACUACGUGCCAGCAGCCGCGGUAAUACGUAGGUGGCAAGCGUUGUCCGGAUUUACUGGGUGUAAAGGGCGUGCAGCCGGGAAGACAAGUCAGAUGUGAAAUCCCGCGGCCAAACCGCGGAACUGCCUUUGAAACUGUUUUUCUUGAGUACCGGAGAGGUCAUCGGAAUUCCUUGGGUAGGGGUGAAAGGCGUAGAUAGAAGGAAGAACUGCGAUUGCGAAGGAAGUUCAAUGGACUGCAACUGACACUGAGGCUCGAAAGUGUGGGUAUCAAACAGGAUUAGAUACCACAGUAGUC